rnacentral:rRNA from 1 species
AUUGAACGCUGGCGGCAGGCCUAACACAUGCAAGUCGAACGGUAACAGGAAGAAGCUUGCUUCUUUGCUGACGAGUGGCGGACGGGUGAGUAAUGUCUGGGAAACUGCCUGAUGGAGGGGGAUAACUACUGGAAACGGUAGCUAAUACCGCAUAACGUCGCAAGACCAAAAAGGGGGACCUUCGGGCCUCUUGCCAUCGGAUGUGCCCAGAUGGGAUUAGCUAGUAGGUGGGGUAACGGCUCACCUAGGCGACGAUCCCUAGCUGGUCUGAGAGGAUGACCAGCCACACUGGAACUGAGACACGGUCCAGACUCCUACGGGAGGCAGCAGUGGGGAAUAUUGCACAAUGGGCGCAAGCCUGAUGCAGCCAUGCCGCGUGUAUGAAGAAGGCCUUCGGGUUGUAAAGUACUUUCAGCGGGGAGGAAGGGAGUAAAGUUAAUACCUUUGCUCAUUGACGUUACCCGCAGAGGAAGCACCGGCUAACUCCGUG